AGUGACAAAGUUCAACGGCCGCGGUACCCUAACCGUGCGAAGGUAGCAUAAUCACUUGUUCUUUAAAUGAGGACUUGUAUCAACGGCACUACGAGGGCUAUACUGUCUCCUUUUUCUAAUCAGUGAAACUGAUUUCCCCGUGAAGAAGCGGGGAUCAAAAUAUAAGACGAGAAGACCCCAUGGAGCUUUAAACUUACCACACACCUCUGUGGUACCACACCAUUUAACACAAGAGACCUGCGUGCUAGUUUUAGGUUGGGGGGACCACGGAGUAUAAUUAAACCUCCACAACAAAUGGGCUAAUACCCUUAUCCACGAGACACAACUCUAAGAAUUACUAAACUAAUGCUUAUGACCCGAUAUUCGAUCAAUGAACCAAGUUACCCUGGGGAUAACAGCGCAAUCUACUUCAAGAGCCCCUAUCGACAAGUAGGUUUACGACCUCGAUGUUGGAUCAGGGUAUCCCGGUGGUGCAGCCGCUACCGAUGGUUCGUUUGUUCAACGAUUAAAACCCUACGUGA
rnacentral:rRNA from 1 species